UGCAUUGAAGCUAUGGCGCCACUACUUAUACGGCGAGCGAUGCGAAGUAUAUACGGAUCACAAAAGCUUAAAGUAUCUAUUCACUCAGAAGGAGUUGAACUUGAGGCAGCGCAGAUGGUUGGAGCUACUCAAGGAUUAUGAUUUGACGAUACUUUACCACCCGGGCAAGGCUAACGUGGUGGCGGAUGCGCUAAGUAGGAAAUCGACGGAAAACUUAGCGAUGCUUGUGGUUACUCAACCGCCGUUGAUCGAGCAGAUGAAGCGGUUGGAGUUGGAGGUGGUGGCUCCUGAUACACCUUUGAGACUGAUGACUUUGGUGGUGCAACCUACACUUUUGGAAAGGAUUAAAGAAAAGCAAGCUUCCGACUCGGAGUUGCAAAAGAUUCGAGCUAAGAUGGUUGAUGGUUGCACCGGUGACUUCACUUUAGACGGUGAUGGAUUGAUGCGUUUCCGCGGACGACUUUGUGUACCGGCGGACUUGGGCAUUAAAGAGGAUAUUCUUCAAGAAGCACACCGAGCACCGUAUGCUAUACAUCCGGGAGGCACCAAGAUGUACAAGAAUUUGAAAUUACUUUAUUGGUGGCCCGGGAUGAAAAAGAAUGUUGGUGAAUAUGUUGCAAGAUGCUUAACUUGCUAGCAGGUGAAGGCCGAGCACCGAGUUCCUGCAGGAAAGUUGCAGAGCCUAUCGAUUUCAGUGUGGAAAUGGGAGAAGAUCACUAUGGAUUUCGUGAUGGGAUUGCGGCGCUCACAGGCCGGGCAUGAUGCAAUUUGGGCGAUCGUGGAUUGAUUGACGAAAUCAGCACAUUUCAUACCUAUCCACACUACUUGGACUGGUGAGAGAUUCGCACAGGUUUAUUUGGAUGAGAUUGUGCGACUGCACGGGGUACCUACUUCAAUAGUAUCGGAUCGAGACCCCCUUUUUUUGUCUCACUUUUGGAGGAGCUUACAGGACGCUUUGGGUAGGCGCUUGGAUUUCAGCACUGCUUUCCACCACUAGAGUGACGGGCAGUCGGAGCGUACUAUACAGACUCUCGAGGACAUGCUUCGAGCUUGCGUGAUUGACUUCCAGGGAGGAUGGUCGCAGCAUCUACCAAUGGCAGAGUUUGCUUAUAACAACAGUUAUCAAGCAAGUAUUAAGAUGGCACCAUUUGAGGCAUUUUAUGGUCGGAAGUGUAGAUCGCCUUUUCAUUAAAGCGAAGUUGGCGAAAGAUUGGCUUUAGGCCCUGAUGUGCUUCAGGAAGUAGAGGAUAAGGUUCGCAUUGCUCGGGAGCGAUUGUUGACGGCCCAGAGUAGGCAAAGGAGUUAUGCUGAUCGGCGUCGACGAGACUUGGAGUUUCAGAUUAGAGAUCACGUUUUCUUGAAAGUCUCGCCGACCCGAGGGAUUAGAAGAUUUAGAAUCAGGGGUAAGUUGAGCCCUCGAUACAAUGGACCGUAUGAGGUUUUGGAGCGUGUAGGCCCGGUAGCAUAUAGACUUGCCCUACCGACGAACCUAUCGGGUGUACAUAAUAUAUUCCUUGUAUCGGUCCUUCGGAAGUACAUCCACGAUCCGGCUCAUGUUUUGGACGCUACGCCUUUGGAGCUGAGGGAGGACUUGAGCUUUGAGGAGCAGCCUUUAAGGAUUUUGGCUCGCGAAGUAAAAAGAUUGCGGAAUCGUGAGAUUCUCUACGUGAAGGUGUUUUGGAGCAACCACGACGAGCGCGAGGCCACUUAGGAGUUGGAGAGCGUGCUGCGAGAACGCUAUCCCCAUCUUUUUCAGAUGGAGGCUUGAGGUAUCUUUACUUUUCGAGUUUCGCGGACGAAACUCCUUUUUAGGAGGGGUGAAUGUAAAACACUGGACCUUUGCAAAUUGCGAGGUUCGAGUGGUUGGUUGUGUGCUGAGUAAUUCCAGACUUUCUGGUGGGUCGUUGACAGUGUUCCGACCUGUGGCUCGCAUCCCGAGAAGUGAGGUUUAAAGACUAGCACAAAAAUCCGAAAAAUCGGAUUGUUGGUCAGCUCUCGGGUAGCCUUCAGUAGGGCUUGUACCGGUACAAGGCUGAUGGUUGUACCGGUACAAGGCUGGUGGUUGUUCCGGUAUAGGGGGCUUGUACCGGUACAGAGCCGCAGAACCCGCCAACCCGAGCCUCGGGUUGUGAUUGUCGUGGGGCUUGUACCGGUACAGGGGCCCGUGUACCUGUACAAGGUGGCAGAAUUUGAGUAGUUUGAACUGCAGGGGUGUUUUUGUGAUUGUGGGUCCCUUAUAUCAGCACCCACGCCUCUAGGGCCCCCCUUUGAGCUCUCCACUGCAGGGAGAAAGGUAGGGCACCUCUCCCCUUCACCCCAUUUGGAUUUGAUCUCUUUCUAGCUUGGGAUUUAAGUGUUGAUCCUUCUCUUUUCCCUUUUCUUUGCUUUUCCACCAUUUUGAUGCUUGGAGCUUGGUCUUGAUGGAUUGUUGAGGGAAGAUCUUGGGAUUUCAAGAGUUUAGAGCUUUGAUUGAAGCUUUUAAGAGGUAAUCCACUUAUUCUCUCCCUCUAGAUUGGAUUUUAUUGAUGGUUUUGAGAUGAAACCCUAGAAUGAGAUUUUAGGGCUUAUUUUGGGCGUUUUGAUUCUAGGGCUUUUGGGGCUAAAUUAUUUGGAUUAGAGCACUCCUUUGGGUCGGGUUGGAAUGAUCUUAGCCUUCUUUUGGAGCUUGUGAGAGUUUUUCUCCACCCUAGGUGAGAUUUUAGCCCUUUUGCCUUAUUGGUUAAUGUUUGAUCUUAUAGAUGAUCGUAAUGCCCGUGUAUCUCUUCGCUCAAUACUUUUAGGGUGAUUUGAGACUCGUGGACAACUUCGUUCGGCGAGACGAGGCACUACACGACGGUUCGGUGGGUUUGACCUAGCCACACAAUGAGAAAUUCUCAUUUGUGAUGAAUUAAGUAUCGUUAAUUGAAAAAGCAUGCAUAUUCUUGUUAUAUGCAUUUAUUGUGAAUUUUAGAAUGCUUAAAAUGCCUAUGUUACAUAUGAUGAAAUUUUUAGUGUGGAUUUGAGUUUGUGUAUGGAUCUCGUCCCGGGACACCCGAUCUCAAAAGACCCUAUAGGAUGGCACCAGCAGAAUUGAAGGAGCUGAAGGCACAGUUGCAGGAUCUUCUCGAUAAAGGUUUUGUGCGCGAGUGUUGUCACCAUGGGGAGCACCAGUUUUGUUUGUAAAGAAGAAUGAUGGAUCACUUCGCUUAUGUGUGGACUAUCGUGAACUUAAUAAAGUCACGAUCAAGAACAAGUAUCCAUUGCGAGAAUCGACGAUCUAUUUGAUCAGCUACAGGAUCUUGUAAUAUAUUCCAAGAUUGACUUGCAGUCGGGAUAUCACCAGUUGAGGAUCAGACCUGAGAUGUGUCGAAGACGGCUUUAGAACAUGUAUGGACACUAUGAGUUUACUGUUAUGCCGUUUGGCUCACUAAUGCCGCUUAGAGAGGUGGCGUUUUGGGCCAUUUGAUUUCUGGAUCAGGAAUAGCCGUGGCCCGAGAAAAAUGAAGCUAUCAGGAUUGGCCGAGGCGACGAGUGACCGAGAUACGGAGCUUCAUUGGUUUGCCGGCUAUUACCGACGGUUCGUCGAGAGAUUUGCAAAGUUAUCUACUCCUCACGAGACUGACGCAUAAGGGCACCAAGUUUAUUUUGGAAUUGAUGCGUGUUGAAAGAGCUUCCAAGAGUGAAGCAGCGAUUGUCGACCGCCCCGAUCCUAACCUUUCGACUGCUGGAGCAGGUAUGUGAUUUAUAGUGAUGCUUCCUUUAAUGGAUUGGGCUGUCUUAUGCAGACCGGAAAGUGAUCGCGUAUGCAUCUCGCCAAUUGAAGGAUUAUGAAAGGAAUUACCCUACUCACGACUUGGAGUUGGCGGCCGUGGUCUUUGCAUUGAAGCAUAUGGCGCCACUACUUAUAUGGCGAGCGAGCGAAGUAUAUCGGAUCACAAAAGCUUAAAGUAUCUAUUCAUUCAGAAGGGGUUGAACUUGUGGCAGCGCAGAUGGUUGGAGCCUACUCAAGGAUUAUAUUGACUGAUACUACCACCCGGGCAAGGCUAACGUGAUGGCUGAUGCGCUAAGUAGCGAAAUUGACGAAAAACUUAGCGAUGCUGUGUAUACUCAACCGCCGUUGAUCAAGCAGAUGAAACGGUUGGAGUUGGAGGUGGUGGCCCUGAUACACCUUUGAGACUGAUGACUUUGGGUGCAACCUACACUUUUGGAAAAGAUUAAAGAAAAACAACUUCCGACUCGGAGUUGCAAAAGAUUCGAGCUAAGAAUGGUUGAUGGUUGCACCGCGUGUACUUCACUUAGACUGUGUAUGGAUUGAUGCGUUUCCGCGACGACUUUGGUGUCCGGCGCGACGUUCGGGCAUUNNNNNNNNNNNNNNNNNNNNNNNNNUUGUUUGAUACCGGUGCAUCGCAUUCAUUCAUUGAUCGGCUGUUUGCCGAGCUGCAUGGCAUCCCACUUGUAUCCUUGUUGCACCCGGGACGAGUUGUUGUACCCGAUCAUUCCUUGGACAUUCGGGAGUUUUGCCCCAGCUGCCCUAUUCGGGUUGGAGAUUGGAUCAUGCCCAUAGACAUGCUAGCCUUGCAUAAACUCGGGGAGUUUGAGGUUGUGUUGGGCAUGGAUUGGUUGACUAAGUAUUUCGCCACUAUCGAUUGUAAAGAUCGAACGGUGACUUUUAGAGAGCCAGGGCAGGCGGAGGUUGUGUACCGAGGAUGCCAGAGUUCGCUGUUUGCGAUGACGAUUAGCUCCUCUCGAGCUAGGCAGUUGAUUAGUAGAGGCUGCGUAGCCUAUUUGGCUAGUGUCGUGUUGCGGGGCGAUGCGGACGCCCCUAGGAUUGAGGAUAUCCCCGUAGUGCGGGAGUUUGGAGAUGUGUUUCCAGCGGAGCUUCCAGGCAUGCCUCCUGACAGGGAGAUUGAGUUUGUGGUAGAUCUCGUUCCCGCGACUAUCCCGAUCUCAAAGGCACCCUAUAGGAUGGCACCAAUAGAAUUGAAGGAGCUGAAGGCACAAUUGCAGGAUCUUCUGGAUAAGGGUUUUGUGCGACCGAGUGUGUCACCUUGGGGAGCACCAGUUUUGUUUGUAAAGAAGAAGGAUGGAUCACUUCGCUUAUGUGUGCACUAUCGUGAACUUAAUAAAGUCACGAUCAAGAACAAGUAUCCAUUGCCAAGGAUUGACGAUCUAUUUGAUCAGCUCCAGGAAUCUUCUGUAUAUUCCAAGAUUGACUUGCAGUUGGGAUAUCACCAGUUGAGGAUCAAACCUGAGGAUGUGUCGAAGACGGCUUUUAGAACACGGUAUGGACACUAUGAGUUUACUGUUAUGCCGUUUGGGCUCACUAAUGCCCCGGCAGCUUUUAUGGAUCUAAUGAACCGUGUUUUCAAGCCUUAUUUAGACAGUUUGUCGUGGUGUUCAUCGACGAUAUUUUGGUCUAUUCCUGAAGUGAUGCGGAUCACGAGGAACACUUGAGACUUGUACUUCAAGUGCUUCGAGAAAAGAAACUCUAUGCUAAGUUGAAAAAGUGUGAAUUUUGGCUUAGAGAGGUGGCGUUUUUGGGCCAUUUGAUUUCUGGAUCAGGCAUAGCCGUGGACCCGAGAAAAAUUGAAGCUAUCAAGGAUUGGCCGAGGCCGACGAGUGUGACCGAGAUACGGAGCUUCAUUUGUUUGGCCGGCUAUUACCCGACGGUUCGUCGAGGGAUUUGCAAAGUUAUCUACUCCCCUCACGAGACUGACGCAUAAGGGCACCAAGUUUAUUUGGAAUGAUGCGUGUGAAAAAAGCUUCCAAGAGUUGAAGCAGCGAUUGACGACCGCCCCGAUCCUAACCUUGCCGACUGCUGGAGAAGGGUAUGUAAUUUAUAGUGAUGCUUCCUUUAAUGGAUUUGGUUGUGUCUUAAUGCAGGACGGGAAAGUGAUCGCGUAUGCAUCUCGCCAAUUGAAGGAUUAUGAAAGGAAUUACCCUACUCACGACUUGGAGUUGGCGACCAUGGUCUUUGCAUUGAAGCUAUGGCGCCACUACUUAUACGGCGAGCGAUGCGAAGUAUAUACGGAUCACAAAAGCUUAAAGUAUCUAUUCAUUCAGAAGGAGUUGAACUUGAGGCAGCGCAGAUGGUUGGAGCGACUCAAGGAUUAUGAUUUGACGAUACUUUACCUCCCGGGCAAGGCUAACGUGGUGGCUGAUGCGCUAAGUAGGAAAUCGACGGAAAACUUAGCGAUGCUUGUGGUUACUCAACCGCCGUUGAUCGAGCAGAUGAAGUGGUUGGAGUUGGAGGUGGUGGCUCCUGAUACACCUUUGAGACUGAUGACUUUGGUGGUGCAACUUACACUUUUGGAAAAGAUUAAAGAAAAGCAAGCUUCCGACUCGGAGUUGCAAAAGAUUCGAGCUAAGAUGGUUGAUGGUUGCACCGGUGACUUCACUUUAGACGGUGAUGGAUUGAUGCGUUUUCGCGGACGACUUUGUGUACCGGCGGACUUGGGCAUUAAAGAGGAUAUUCUUCAAGAAGCACACCGAGCACCGUAUGCUAUACAUCCGGGAGGCACCAAGAUGUACAAGAAUUUGAAAUUACUUUAUUGGUGGCCCGGGAUGAAAAAGAAUGUUGGUGAAUUUGUUGCCAGAUGCUUAACUUGCC
rnacentral:lncRNA from 1 species